UGGGGAAUUUUGCGCAAUGGGCGAGAGCCUGACGCAGCAACGCCGCGUGAGCGAUGAAGGCCUUCGGGUCGUAAAGCUCUGUCCUCAAGGAAGAUAAUGACGGUACUUGAGGAGGAAGCCCCGGCUAACUACGUGCCAGCAGCCGCGGUAAUACGUAGGGGGCUAGCGUUAUCCGGAAUUACUGGGCGUAAAGGGUGCGUAGGUGGUUUCUUAAGUCAGGAGUGAAAGGCUACGGCUCAACCGUAGUAAGCUCUUGAAACUGGGGAACUUGAGUGCAGGAGAGGAAAGUGGAAUUCCUAGUGUAGCGGUGAAAUGCGUAGAUAUUAGGAGGAACACCAGUAGCGAAGGCGGCUUUCUGGACUGUAACUGACACUGAGGCACGAAAGCGUGGGGAGCAAACA
rnacentral:rRNA from 1 species